UACAGAGGUCCCGAGCGUUGUUCGGAUUUAUUGGGCGUAAAGGGUGCGUAGGCGGCGGAGUAAGUUGGGUGUGAAAUCCCGGGGCUCAACCUCGGAAUUGCAUUCAAUACUGCUUCGCUAGAGUACUGGAGAGGAGGCUGGAAUUUACGGUGUAGCAGUGAAAUGCGUAGAUAUCGUAAGGAAGGCCGGUGGCGAAAGCGAGUCUCUGGACAGCAACUGACGCUGAGGCACGAAGGCCAGGGGAGCAAACGGG
rnacentral:rRNA from 1 species